UACGUGUUCUGUUAGGUGAGGCUCCUGUAUAGAGAUAAGCUGCUGCCCAAAAAUGUCGAGAGACGCCAAUGGGUCAACAGGAAAGAUCGGAAUAAGGUCUUUCUUAAUGUAGCUGGUACCAGAUUACCUAUGCUAUACAGUGCUAAAGCUCAAGCGAGGGAAACGGAGG
rnacentral:sRNA from 2 species